rnacentral:rRNA from 1 species
UAGGGAAUAUUGCACAAUGGGGGAAACCCUGAUGCAGCGACGCCGCGUGAGUGAUGAAGGCCUUCGGGUCGUAAAGCUCUGUUCUACGAGACGAAACAAAUGACGGUAUCGUAGAAGAAAGGACCGGCUAACUUCGUGCCAGCAGCCGCGGUAAUACGAGGGGUCCUAGCGUUGUUCGGAAUCAUUGGGCGUAAAGCGUCUGUAGGCGGCUUUGUAAGUCAGGUGUGAAAGCCCCGGGCUCAACCCGGGAAGUGCAUUUGAUACUGCUUAGCUUGAAUGUUGGAGAGGAUAGUAGAAUUCCAGGUGUAGUGGUGAAAUACGUAGAUAUCUGGAGGAAUACCGGUGGCGAAGGCGGCUAUCUGGCCAAACAUUGACGCUGAGAGACGAAAGUGCGGGGAUCAAACAG